rnacentral:rRNA from 1 species
UACGUAGGGUGCAAACGUUAUCCGGAUUUAUUGGGCGUAAAGAGCUCGUAGGCGGCGAUAUAAGUUGGAUAUUAAAGACCCAGGCUCAACCUGGGGAAAGUAUCCAAGACUGUAUUGCUAGAGUGAUGCAGGGGAGAACGGAACUUACGGUGUAGCGGUAAUAUGCGUAGAUAUCGUAAGGAACGCCAAUGGUGAAGACAGUUCUCUGGGCAUUUUCUGACGCUGAGGAGCGAAAGCGUGGGUAGCGAUCGGG